rnacentral:rRNA from 1 species
AACGAACGCUGGCGGCAUGCCUAACACAUGCAAGUCGAACGAGACCUUCGUGUCUAGUGGCUCACGGGUGCGUAACGCGUGGGAAUCUGCCCUUGGGUACGGAAUACUAGUUGGACACGACUGCUAAUACCGGAAGACGACGUAAGUCCAAAGAUUUAUCGCACAGGGCUGAGCCCGCGUAGGAUUAGCUAGUUGGUGGGGUAAAGGCCUACCAAGGCGACGAUCCUUAGCCGGUCUGAGAGGAUGAUCAGCCACACUGGGACUGAGACACGGCCCAGACUCCUACGGGAGGCAGCAGUGGGGAAUAUUGCACAAUGGGGGGAAGCCUGAUCCAGCAAUGCCGCGUGAGCGAUGAAGGUCUUAGAGUUGUAAAGCUCUUUUACCCGGGAUGAUAAUGACGGUACCGGAAGAAUAAGCCCCGGCUAACUCCGUG